rnacentral:rRNA from 1 species
CCUACGGGUGGCUGCCGUGAGGAAUAUUGGUCAAUGGCCGGAAGGCUGAACCAGCCAUGCCGCGUGAAGGUCAGUGCCCUAUGGGCGUUAAACUUCUUUUGUGCGGGAGCAAUAAUGGUCACGUGUGGCCAGACGAGAGUCCCGUACGAAUAAGCAUCGGCUAACUCCGUGCCAGCAGCCGCGGUCAUACUGGGAUGCAAGCGUUAUACGGAUGUAUUGGGGUUAAAGGGUGCGUAGGCUGUAAGGUAAGGCAGCGGUGAAAUGCCCCCGCUCAACGGGGUGAAGUGCCAUUGAUACUGCCUGGCUGGAAUGCGGAUGCCGUGGGAGGAAUGCGUGGUGUAGCGGUGAAAUGCAUAGAUAUCACACAGAACACCGAUUGCGAAGGCAUCUCACGAAUCCGCGAUUGACGCUGAUGCACGAAAGCGUGGGUAUCAAACAGGAUUAGAUACCCGGGUAGUC